GUCUACGGCCAUGCUACCCUGAACAAGCCCGAUUCUGUCUGAUCUCAGAAGCUAAGCAGGGUCGAGCCUGGUUAGUACUUGGCUGGGAGACCACCUAGGAAGAACAGGUGCUGUAGGCG
rnacentral:rRNA from 1 species